ACUACCACCUUUGGGUCAUCCAGUCACUUUGCUAUAUGCUGGAGACAGAAGGUAAAAAAUAAAAGUGUGCCUGACCUUGAGGAACUCAUGUUUUAUCCUGGGAGCAACAACACAUACACAGAUAGUAAUAUGAUGUUCCAACUGAAGAAAUGCUAGUGGACAAUCAGUAACUGUGAAAUUCACACCUUCAGAUGAAGGAACUAAGGCCCAGGGAGUGUAAAUUGA